rnacentral:rRNA from 1 species
CCUACGGGUGGCAGCAGUGAGGAAUAUUGGUCAAUGGACGAGAGUCUGAACCAGCCAAGUAGCGUGAAGGAUGACUGCCCUAUGGGUUGUAAACUUCUUUUAUAAAGGAAUAAAACGAGGCACGUGUGCCUUUUUGCAUGUACUUUAUGAAUAAGCAUCGGCUAACUCCGUGCCAGCAGCCGCGGUAAUACGGAGGAUCCGAGCGUUAUCCGGAUUUAUUGGGUUUAAAGGGUGCGUAGGCGGGUUGUUAAGUCAGUUGUGAAAGUUUGGGGCUCAACCGUCUAAUUGCAAUUGAUACUGGAAGUCUUGAGUGCAGUAGAGGUAGGCGGAAUUCGUGGUGUAGCGGUGAAAUGCUUAGAUAUCACGAAGAACCCCGAUUGCGAAGGCAGCUUACUAAACUGUAACUGACAUUGAUGCACGAAAGUGUGGGUAUCAAACAGGAUUAGAUACCCGAGUAGUC